rnacentral:rRNA from 1 species
GCUUACGGCCAUACCAGCCUGGGUACGCCCCGAUCUCGUCUGAUCUCGGAAGCUAAGCAGGGUCGGGCCUGGUUAGUACCUGGAUGGGAGACCGCCUGGGAAUACCAGGUGCUAUAAGCA